rnacentral:rRNA from 1 species
AGUGAACGCUGGCGGUAGGCCUAACACAUGCAAGUCGAACGGCAGCACAGGAGAGCUUGCUCUCUGGGUGGCGAGUGGCGGACGGGUGAGGAAUACAUCGGAAUCUACUUUUUCGUGGGGGAUAUCGUAGGGAAACUUACGCUAAUACCGCAUACGACCUACGGGUGAAAGCAGGGGACCUUCGGGCCUUGCGCGAUUGAAUGAGCCGAUGUCGGAUUAGCUAGUUGGCGGGGUAAAGGCCCACCAAGGCGACGAUCCGUAGCUGGUCUGAGAGGAUGAUCAGCCACACUGGAACUGAGACACGGUCCAGACUCCUACGGGAGGCAGCAGUGGGGAAUAUUGGACAAUGGGCGCAAGCCUGAUCCAGCCAUACCGCGUGGGUGAAGAAGGCCUUCGGGUUGUAAAGCCCUUUUGUUGGGAAAGAAAUCCAGCUGGCUAAUACCCGGUUGGGAUGACGGUACCCAAAGAAUAAGCACCGGCUAACCUCGUGCCAGCAGCCGCCGUAA